rnacentral:rRNA from 1 species
UACUUGUACCAACUGGAUGAGCAGCGAACGGGUGAGUAACGCGUGGGGAAUCUGCCUUUGAGCGGGGGACAACAUUUGGAAACGAAUGCUAAUACCGCAUAAAAACUUUAAACACAAGUUUUAAGUUUGAAAGAUGCAAUUGCAUCACUCAAAGAUGAUCCCGCGUUGUAUUAGCUAGUUGGUGAGGUAAAGGCUCACCAAGGCGAUGAUACAUAGCCGACCUGAGAGGGUGAUCGGCCACAUUGGGACUGAGACACGGCCCAAACUCCUACGGGAGGCAGCAGUAGGGAAUCUUCGGCAAUGGACGAAAGUCUGACCGAGCAACGCCGCGUGAGUGAAGAAGGUUUUCGGAUCGUAAAACUCUGUUGGUAGAGAAGAACGUUGGUGAGAGUGGAAAGCUCAUCAAGUGACGGUAACUACCCAGAAAGGGACGGCUAACUACGUGCCAGCAGCCGCGGUAAUACGUAGGUCCCGAGCGUUGUCCGGAUUUAUUGGGCGUAAAGCGAGCGCAGGUGGUUUAUUAAGUCUGGUGUAAAAGGCAGUGGCUCAACCAUUGUAUGCAUUGGAAACUGGUAGACUUGAGUGCAGGAGAGGAGAGUGGAA